rnacentral:rRNA from 1 species
UACGUAGGGUGCGAGCGUUAAUCGGAAUUACUGGGCGUAAAGCGUGCGUAGGCGGUUCGUUAAGUCAGCUGUGAAAGCCCCCGGCUCAACUGGGGAGGUCACUCGAUACUGAUCGACUCGAAGGCAGAAGAGGGAAGCGGAAUUCCCGGUGUAGUGGUGAAAUGCGUAGAUAUCGGGAGGAACACCAGUGGCGAAGGCGGCUUUCUGGUCUGCUCUUGACGCUGAGGCGCGAAAGCUAGGGUAGCAAACGGG